rnacentral:rRNA from 1 species
UACGGGGGGUGCAAGCGUUGUUCGGAUUUACUGGGCGUAAAGGGCGCGUAGGCGGCGCAACAAGUCACUUGUGAAAUCUCCGGGCUUAACCCGGAGCGGUCAAGUGAUACUGUCGUGCUAGAGUGCGGAAGGGGCUACUGGAAUUCUCGGUGUAGCGGUGAAAUGCGUAGAUAUCGAGAGGAACACCUGCGGCGAAGGCGGGUAGCUGGGCCGACACUGACGCUGAUGCGCGAAAGCCAGGGGAGCGAACGGG